UUUUAAAAAAAUUCGCUCUGACCUAUUCACCUGGAAUAUAGAUUCCACAAUAGGGUUUUUUUUCUUUUUUUCUGUGAAGUCUAUUUAUACAAUUGUCACGUGAUAAAUGCUAACAAAGUUGAAAACAUUGUUAUUUUGGGGAAGACGACGAAAACUAACACGAAAGAAUAAAAAGCUCCAAAGCGUCGUCGACAAUCAUAUUGAUUCGCUUUUACAUCCAGCUUGGAAACGCAACACACUGUGUAGCUGAAAUAAUCAUCCCAGAAACUUAAAAUAAAAAAGUGCAGCGGAGAGACAAGCUAUUUGCUUACAAAAUGAAGAACUGUAGUUUCAAAUAUGUGCAUUGAGCAACAGACCACGCGCAAUCAGUAUAAUUUACGYUACUUUAAAACUGAAAACUCGAGUUUACCUAUUUCGUGAUUUUUUAUUCGUAAUUUACAUGAGGUAAAACAAUGGUGCUGCAAAUUCAAAUUAAUGGGGUUAAAAAAAUAUGCGCUYUGUGCAUCUAGCUGCAGGAGCUCGUGGGAAUUUACCAUGCACGUGCUUUCAGCACUAGGUCUUUUUAUGCUCCAGUGGCAGAUACAUUUUAUAUGYUUCGUGCCAUGAACGCAAAACUGAGUAUCAUCUCCAAGUGUCUUGAAUUAACGAGAAGCAAUCACGCGCUCUUACUUGAUCAAAGAAAGGAAUCAAUCUGUAAUUCUUUACCGUGCCGUAUGCACUGCCUUUUCAUAGUCAUAUGARUUCAGUUCUUCAAGGUCAGAGCUAGGCGAGAGUAGUUGCACGAGAGAAAGAAACAGGACUUUUCCCUCUCUUGUGAGGAAAAAUGUAUCUCCAUGCACAGUCAACUUUGUCUCCCGCCUCCAUUUUUGGAUGCGCUUUUGUUAUGAUUUGUAUCCAAGUCACUGGAGCACAUGAUUAAUUUCUCUAAAAAUUACAUCAAUUGUUCCCUGCUCCAAAUGUGCCCUCCACCUCGCGCUUUUGGAAGCAGCACGAACAUUCUAGUUUUCAAAUSUCUGCCAUAAAUUGAAGUAACCAUGCAUUGUAAGAGCUUAGUUUUUUUGCAUCCGCUUUCUAAGGUUGGUAGAAAAAGUCAAAGAAAGGCUUUUUCUUCAAAAACUGAAGAAAAAGCCUUUCUUCAUAGUCUAACAGUAGGUCGCUUGCAUCACUAUUAUUAAUAAAGCAAAAAUAAAGGGG